CCUAAACAUUGAUUAGCCAUUAUACAACUUCUCCGCCAGAGAACUACAAGUGAAAAACUUGAAACUCAAAGGACUUGACGGUGUCCCAUAUCGACCUAGAGGAGCCUGUCCUAUAAUCGAUACUCCACGUUUCACCCAACCUUAACUAGCAAAAUAUCAGCCUAUAUACCGCCGUCGACAGCCUACCCUAUGAAGGUCUAACAGUAGACUCAAUAGCAUCACCGCUAGUACGUCAGGUCAAGGUGUAGCAAAUGUUAAGGUAGAGAUUGGCUACAUUUUUUAUAAUAAAAAACACGAAAAGUACUAUGAAACUGUACAUGAAGGUGAAUUUAGUAGUAAAACAGAUAAGAGUGUCU
rnacentral:rRNA from 1 species